ensembl:lncRNA
UCACAGCCCCUGGCCGGGGAGCAGCUGAGCUCUGCAUCGUGGCGGUGGAGCCCCCACUGCAGCAUUAACAUACGUUGCCUCCACUGCACUGGCUAACAAAGUCCUCUUGCCUGAAGGGCUGAGCUUGCUCUAUGCCAGUGAGAGGGUUCCACCAGGAGAAGUUCAUGAUCUGACUAGACAAAAAGGCGAGGGUGGGAGAAGACCUGAAGGCACUGGAUAACCCUUCAGACAGGGUAAGCUUUCAGUGGCAGACCUGGGAACAGAGUUGCA